rnacentral:rRNA from 1 species
GACGAACGCUGGCGGCGUGCCUAAUACAUGCAAGUGGGACGCAAGAGAACACACUGUGCUUGCACACCGUGUUUUCUUGAGUCGCGAACGGGCGAGUAACGCGUAGGUAACCUGCCUAUUAGCGGGGGAUAACUAUUGGAAACGAUAGCUAAUACCGCAUAAUAUUAAUUAUUGCAUGAUAAUUGAUUGAAAGAUGCAAGCGCAUCACUAGUAGAUGGACCUGCGUUGUAUUAGCUAGUUGGUAAGGUAAGAGCUUACCAAGGCGACGAUACAUAGCCGACCUGAGAGGGUGAUCGGCCACACUGGGACUGAGACACGGCCCAGACUCCUACGGGAGGCAGCGUAGGGAAUCUUCGGCAAUGGACGAAAGUCUGACCGAGCAACGCCGCGUGAGUGAAGAAGGUUUUCGGAUCGUAAAGCUCUGUUGUAAGUCAAGAACGUGUGUGAGAGUGGA